GGCAGCUGCAGCUUUUUGCAUUUUAUGAAACAAUCUUUUGUGGGAUUUUAUUUUGUUGUCUUGUGUUGUUUUGUUUUAUUUUAAACUAAAACCUGAAGUUCAUUCAGGUGACCUCCUUGGACACUCGUGAGCCACCACCUGAGGAACUGGAAAGUACGAAAUGCAGAUCUAUUUUUUUCCUGCACAGGCUGCUUAGGUGGUAAGAAUCAAACCUGACAGCACGGUCAGGGAAUGCAUACACAUCAGAGGGCAUAUUUUUGCACAUACAGGCUGCAUCUGGUUUUCUAUUCCACCGGAGAUCAAACGAGAUCUUAGGCUCUUUCAGCACACCUCUCCUGGUGUUAUUGUCCUAACUGGGAGGCCAAAAGCUACUUCUGUGAAAUUUCAAGAAAGAGGUGUGCAUAUUCCCCUUAGUUCCACAUCUGGCAGGAAUAGCAGGACUGGACUGAACACUGGCUGCUGCUCAGGAACCUGCCUCUCUAGCCAAAAUAAAAUAUGAUGAGAUUUUGGUUUUACUCUUCAAAGACUAUGCCAAGGCAUCCAGAGUGUGUGCGUGUGCAGUCAUCCAUGUACUAGGGGAUUCUUCAUCUGAAAAAAUGGUACAUAGCUUCCCUGCUACAUCCAAGGUCACUAGCUCCCUCCACUGAAAAUGCUCUCUCCUCUUCUCCUCCAAACCCGGAGGUUCCCUGCCCCAUGGCCCAUGGGCUGGGACUGCUUCUUUUGGGAGAUUUGCAUCGUCAGAAAGGGAAUACAGCAUUAAAUUUCCACAAAAAGGUGGGUCCCCAGCACCACGGCGUUAGCUUUAACAAAACCAUAAGCUUUUGUUUCUGCAACUGGCAGAGAUUUUUAGGCUUUUGUUGCCGCUUUUUAGCAAUGCUAUUGUUUUCUACGUGGUUUGUGCCGAGUUGUUUGGAAAGAUGCCCUAUCACUGUGCUGAACAAUUAGAACUAGGUGUAAAGAGUGAGAAGCAAGAGAGAAAAAAAAAAAAUUAAAUCUCUUUAUUAUGGUGCAUAAACCUUCAGUGCUGGGGAGCUGGGCAGCUGCACAGGAAGAAAAAUGCAUUCAAAAAUAUAAUGCUAGUGUGAAUAAUCCUUUCUCGAAUGCUGCUUGCAGACUGCUUCAGCUUUGUCAGGUGAACUUGAACUGGGCCAUCAGAUUUGCUGUCGUUCCCAUUGCACACUGUCUAUCACCCCGGGGCAUUCACCAUCUUGACUGUUGUUAAAAGGGAGCGAACAAUCCAUCAUUGAGCCCGGGAGUCACUCGCUCAUAGAAAAGUAAAAUCGGCAUGUGACGGUACACUCAGCCCCAGUGUUUCGCAGAUUAAAGUGAUACAUGAAAACUCACGUGUUACUGGGAAGAUUAAGCCAGUUAUCUUGUUCGGCAGCCAAUAAAGGACUGCCUUGUCUGCGGCAGGAGGAGAACGCUGGCUUUAACCAAGUGACAGAAAUUGUGCAUACGGAGCUUCGUGCUGCCGCAAAACAGAGCUCUAAACUGCCAAGGGGUCAGCAAGAUUUUGGGAAUUAACCGGCAGCAGCGAUGCUGCGUUAAAGCCUUUUCCUUCUCUAUAGAGACAAUUAAAAACAAAACAAAACCUCCCUAACAAUCCCUGCAGAACAAAGUGUCCUCGCGCACUGUCAACAGCCAGCCCCGCGAUGCCUGUUGUAAAGUGUGUGUGGUUUAGAGACCCGCAAAAAGCAACGCCUUUUCCAGUCUCUGCUGCUUGUUUGACCAAAGAAAAUGUGUUUAGAUAUGCUUUUGAAUAAAUUCUUGUGUGGGGAA